rnacentral:lncRNA from 1 species
UGGGUUUUUGGUGUGGAUGUCCUUUCUGUUUGUUAGUUUUCCUUCUAACAGACAGGACCCUCAGCUGUAGGUCUGUUGGAAUACCCUGCAGUGUGAAGUGUCAGUGUGCCUCUGCUGGGGGGUGCCUCCCAGUUAGGCUGCUUGGGGGUCAGGGGUCAGGGACCCACUUGAGGAGGCAGUCUGCCCGUACUCAGAUCUCCAGCUGCGUUCUGGGAGAACCACUGCUCUCUUCAAAGCUGUCAGACAGGGACAUUUAAGUCUGCAGAGGUUACUUCUGUCUUUUUGUUUGUCUGUGCCCUGCCCCCAGAGGUGGAGCCUACAGAGGCAGGCAGGCCUCCUUGAGCUGUGGUGGGCUCCACCCACUUCGAGCUUCCUGGCUGCUUUGUUUACCUAAUCAAGCCUGGGCAAUGGCGGGUGCCCCUCCCCCAGCCUCGUUGCCGCUUUGCAGUUUGAUCUCAGACUGCUGUGCUAGCAAUCAGCGAGACUCCAUGGGCGUAGGACCCUGCGAGCCAGGUGCGGGACAUAAUCUCGUGGUGCGCCGCUUUUUAAGCCGGUCCGAAAAGCGCAGUAUUCGGGUGGGAGUGACCCGAUUUUCCAAGUGCGUCCGUCACCCCUUUCUUUUACUCAGAAAGGGAACUCCCUGACCCCUUGCGCUUCCCAAGUGAGGCAAUGCCUCACCCUGCUUCGGCUCGCGCACGGUGCGCGCACCCACUGACCUGCGCCCACUGUCUGGCACUCCGUAGUGAGAUGAACCCGCUACCUCAGAUGGAAAUGCAGAAAUCACCUGUCUUCUGCCUCGCUCACGCUGGGAGCUGUAGACGGAAGCUGUUCCUAUUCGGCCAUCUUGGCUCCUUCCCCGGGGAAACACAUAUAAUGUUUUAAAAGUAUUCUGAUCUCUGGAUUCUUAACUUGGAGGCCAUGGAUAGGCUUAAAACUCAUCCAAAAUGUUUUGUGUGCUUUUGUUUUUUUGUAGAGGAAGUUUCCAAAACUUUCUUCUAAUUCUCAAAGAGAUAGUAGAACAAUUAAUCUAAUCUCAAUCUCUAAAUUCACCUGUGAGAAAAAUGAGACCUGGAUCUGUUGCUAGAUCUAUGAACAGACCAACUAUGAGACCUUGGCCAGCACUCAGCCUUCUGCUGGGAGGAAGGGUCAGUGCUGCCUAGAGAAAAGAGCACUAGACUCAGAGAAAGCAAGGACAAAGCACAGAGCUUGUGGGAGAAACCAUCACGGACUCAGACUUCUCCUGGCACUCAGGUGUCUGCUUUGCUUUCUCUUCACUCCUCCUUGUUGUAUUACCCCAUCUCCCACUGCAGAAAUUUACUUUACUUUUUGAUAUACAAGAUACUGAGACUGCAUCUGUCAAAUUUUCACUGCCAAAAUUAUUUUGCAAAACUCUACUCAGUUUUAUAUACUCGUGUGGUUGUUUCUCUUUGUUUUUCACUAACAUUGAAAGCAAAUCUACAGGAAAUACUUUUUUUUGCUUGGAAGAGGAAUAGAGAUUAUAAUCUAAUUUGGUGGAAAGACUGCUGCCUGUAUCCAACUCUACAUACAUUUGAGUCCAGUGCUAUGCAAAUAUGAUAACGAAAACUCAGAGAGGCUUGUUGAUAUGCUGUAUUUCAAUGGGGACAAGGAUUGUACCAAAAAUGAAUUCUGAACCAAUCACCUGAAAAAAUACCUGUCCAGUCAAGCAAAUAGUUCAUUUUAUAAACGAGAAUGGAAAACACAUCAAUCAUGUGAUGUCAGGAAGAGUAGAAGGAGAAACAAGGGGAAGAGAAGAAAGAAAACUGGAGACCUCUAAAGUCAGCUCUGUGUUAUUUUCUCCAACUUCUUCAUGUGAAAACAUAUAAAAUCAGUGUCUAAAAGGAAGCAAGGAUGAUACUGAUGUUCUCAGCACACAAAGCAACCUUUCACUCCGCCCAGCAGCCUUUGACUCUGCCGUGCGCUCUGUGCAAGACUGAAGAGUACAUGAUGAAAGAAGUUACGCAGAAGUAAGGACAUGUUGUGUGAAAACGGAGUCAUUAUCUACAACAGAAUAAGUAAAAAAGACCGCUAAGAGAUGCAGCCACCUCAACAACACUUUUGUGGGAAAAUUUUAGCUUCAGUAAUUGAAAAUUUCGUGCAGAAGGAGAGAUAUUUGAGUUUAGGAAGUGGAACUCCCAAACCAUGAAAACAAAUGAAAAGCAGCUUUCAGAUGAGAUGUACUAUUAUUGUCAAGGCACAGAUAUUGACUAAAAUUAUAAAAUAAGAAUCAGUGCUAAAAAAGUGAUGCUAAGUAAUAUUCUUGAAUAUUUUAAUAAAAUGAAUAUGUCUUCUAAAAUUCUGGUCCCAGAAUGUAAGAUGAGCAUGUAUGGGGUACAGAACUCUCCUUUAACUCUAAUAAUUAUGUUUCUGCAUUAAAAGCCUGUAGUCUUAUUUUCGAUUACUACAUACAUCCACAGUUCAUUAUUAGUUUCUAGGCAUGUAUGAAAGAAUAAAAAGAUGCAGUCUUCAUUUGACUAAUAUCUAUUAAAGGCAACAACCCAGAAUCCACUUUUAUUUUCUUUAUACAAAUGCUUGCUUUUAAAAAUGGUAAAAAUAUAAAUAUAGAAAUAGAUCAAUCAAACAGAAAAAAAGGAUCCCAAAAAUAGACCCACAUAAAUAUAGUCAAUUUAUUUUUAACACUGGACAUAGGCAAUACAAUGGAGAAAACAUGGUCUUUCAAAAAGUGGUGCUAGAACAACUGUAUAUUCACAUGCAGAAAAAUUAAUCUGGACACACACCUUACACUCAUCACCAAAACUAAGUCAAAAUGUAUCACAGACCUAAAUGUAAAAUGCAAAACUAUAAAAAUCCUAGAGGAUAACAUAGGAAAACGUGUAGAUAAUCUUGCAUUUGAUAAGGACUUUUUAGAUAUGACACCAAUGGCACAAUCUGUGAAAGAAUUGAUAAACUGGAAUACAUUAAAAUUUAAAAAAAUUCUCUUCUGUGAAAGACAAUGUUAAGAGAAUGAAAAGACGAACCAGAGACUGGGAGAGAAUAGUUGCUAAGGACAUACCUGAUAAUGGAUUGUUAUCCAAAUUAAUAAAGAACUUUUAUAACUCAACCAUAAGAAAACAAACAACUUAUUUUGUAAUGGGUCAAAGCUACCUCACCAAACAAGACACACAAAUGGCAAACGGAUUAAAAGAUGUUGUACAUAGCAUAUGGCACCAGGGGAGUUCAAAUUCACACAACAAUACAUCUUAAUGAUCCCACCUAAUGAAUAGCCAAAACCUAGAACAUUGACAACACCAAAUGCUGGUGAGAAUUUGGAGCAAAAAGAACUCUCAUUUACUUCUGAUGGAAAUUCAAAAUGGUACAGCAACCUUGAAAAACAAGUUGGCAGGUGCUUACAAAACUAAACAUACUCUUACCAUACAGCACAGCAAUCAUGCUCCUUGGUAUUUACCCAAAGGAGUUGAAACAUUAUGUCCAUAAAAACCCUGCACACAGAUAUUUCCAGUAGCUUUAUUCAUAAUUUCCAAUACUUAGAAGCAGCCAAGAAGUCCUUCCAAAGGUAAAUGAAUAAAUACACUAUGGUACAUCCAGAUGAUGGAAUAUUACUCAGGACCAAAAGUGAAAUGAGCUAUCACGCAUGAAAUAACAUAGAGGAAAUUUAAAUGCACUUAGUGAACGAUGCCAAUCUAAAAUGGAUAUAUAAUGUGUGAUUGCAACAACAUAAUAUUCUGUAAAAGGUAAAACUAUAGAGACCAUAAAAAGAUUAGUGGUUGCCAGGGGUUAGCAGGAAGAAAAGAAUAGGCCAAACACAGAUGAUUUAUUUUGGGCAGUGAAACUACUUGGUAUGGUACUGUAAUAGUGAAUAUAUGUCAUGUAGAUUUGUCCAAACCCGUAAAACGUAUGAUACCAAGACUGAACUCUUAAUAUAAACUAUGGACUUUGGGUAAUAACAAUGUGUCAGUGUUGUUUCAGGUAUGGUAGCAAAUGUACCAUUCUGUGGGAGACAUUAAUAAUGGGGGAGGCUAUGAAUGUGUGGGGGCCAGCAGGAAAUAUAUGGGAGCUCUGUACCUAUCAUCCAAUUUACUGAUAACCUAAAGCUGCUUCUACAUUUAGUUUUACCUGUUUGUAAUCAUUUUAUUUGUUUGUUUUGAACUAGUGGGAGCUUACUUGUGUAAAGAAGAUUACAUUUCUGUACUCUAGUCUUUUUUGGUUAUAUUUCAGUAAAAUUAAGGUGUAAAAUGAUUUGAAACAUUAUGUUGCUUCUCUGCUAAUUAAAAUUUCUCUUUUUCAAUUUCCACCUAAUGUAGCUUUUAUUUUCUUAAGUGUAGGCACUGUACAUACAAUAAGUACUGACUAACUUUACUAAUCCUCAAUCCACACUGAAAUACUCCCUGGAUAUCUGCGUACAAGAAAGGGAAAUUAAAUUUUCAAAGUAAAUUAGUAAAAAAAAAUUGUGUUUAAGACAUUUAAUGAGUUUAUAUAACAUAGUUCCCUUAUAACUGUUACAUUGUAUUUACUGGAUCUGAAACU